rnacentral:rRNA from 1 species
GACGAACGCUGGCGGCGUGCCUAAUACAUGCAAGUCGAGCGAAUCAAUAGGAGCUUGCUCCUGUUGGUUAGCGGCGGACGGGUGAGUAACACGUGGGCAACCUGCCUGUAAGACUGGGAUAACACCGGGAAACCGGUGCUAAUACCGGAUAAUCCUUUUCCUCUCAUGAGGAAAAGCUGAAAGUCGGUUUCGGCUGACACUUACAGAUGGGCCCGCGGCGCAUUAGCUAGUUGGUGAGGUAACGGCUCACCAAGGCGACGAUGCGUAGCCGACCUGAGAGGGUGAUCGGCCACACUGGGACUGGGACGCGGCCCAGACUCCUACAGGAGGCAGCAGUAGGGAAUCUUCCACAAUGGACGAAAGUCUGAUGGAGCAACGCCGCGUGAGCGAUGAAGGCCUUCGGGUCGUAAAGCUCUGUUGUUAGGGAAGAACAAGUACCGGAGUAACUGCCGGUACCUUGACGGUACCUAACCAGAAAGCCACGGCUAACUACGUGCCAGCCGCCGCAGUAAUAC